rnacentral:rRNA from 1 species
UACAGAGGUGGCAAGCGUUGUUCGGAAUUACUGGGCGUAAAGCGCGUGUAGGCAGCUCGGAAAGUCGGGUGUGAAAGCCCUGGGCUUAACCUAGGAAGUGCACUCGAAACUUCCGAGCUUGAGUUCUGGAGAGGAAGGCGGAAUUCUCGGUGUAGAGGUGAAAUUCGUAGAUAUCGAGAGGAACACCGGUGGCGAAGGCGGCCUCUGGACAGUGACUGACGCUGAGACGCGAAAGCGUGGGGAGCAAACAGG